UGGGGAAUAUUGCACAAUGGGGGAAACCCCUGAUGCAGCGGACGCCGCGUGGGUGAAGAAGUACUUCGGUACGUAAAGCCCUAUCAGCAGGGAAGAAAAUGACGGUACCUGAUUAAGAAGCCCCGGCUAACUACGUGCC
rnacentral:rRNA from 1 species